ensembl:lncRNA
UAACGGAUGUCAUCCUGUAACCGUACAUGUUUUAGACGCGCUUUUAUUUUUAACCUGAAAAAAAAUAUAUAUAUUUAUCUGCGGUAACUUUUCGAUCACUUUCUUUAUUUUCUUCCUUUUUUUACCCUCCUUCUCCGCCUCGCCCCCUCGGGCUCAGGGGGGUGGGGGGGUCGCGUAACUUUGCGAUACCCAUUGGCGCUUUGUGUGCUGCCGGCGUUGCUCGCUUUUGUACCGCGCUCCUUCAGCUCCGCACCGGCGAAGCCCCCGCCGCUGCCGCCCCCGCUUCUCUGCUCGCGACCCCUCGGACCCCAGUCUCGGACCCCGCGGGACCCACGGGCCCCUCGCCCUGCGCGGAGCGGGCUCAGCACUCGCGGACGGGGCUCAGCACCCGCCGGGCGGCCGCCGCCGCCCGUGCCCGCGUCCCCCGGGGCCGAGGCGCGGAGAGGGGCGCGGAGGGUCCCGGCCCCGCACCCCGCGCAGUCCCCGCACAGCCCCCAUUUCUUGUGCGUUUCAGGUGCGAGGCAGCGCGGCCGGGCAGCGCUCCCGAGGGAUAGGCGGCCGCCUCGCUGGGGGAAGCCGAGAGCCGCGCAGACAGCCGAGAAAAGGGGGGUCUCCCAGCUCCUGACCACAAGCACGUCUUGGCAUCCUGAUCCCUGUCCACGUAAAGCUCCGUGUCUGCUCAGCAAUUUGGGCUGAGGGAAGAGCUGUAAUGACAUGAGCAUAUAUAACUUUGGUGGAAAGUCUGAAACAUCGGUUCCACACCCUGAGAGCAGCCUUUCUGUUUAUAAAUCCCAACAAUUCUGAGCACGAAGAGCAAGCACACGGAUUUCUCCUCAGAUGUUUACAUUGUGCUUUCUAAAUAUUUAAAGCCAUUGAUGAAAUUAAAGACAACUCUCACAAUGUUUCGUUCCUCAGUUAUUUGCUCUGUUUUGGUGUGGUUCUUUUGUAAACUCGAAUUUGGUGAAGCAGAAGGGGUGCGAGAGCACAGGGGGGCUCUCAGCAAGCAGUUCUGGUAACCCAGAAAACCGUUUCAGUGAACUUCCCAAAUUUCUGCUGGGAAAUACUGCAUUGAUUUGAUUUCUAAGGAAGAACCAUUUGUAAAGCAACGUUCUCCUCACCAGCACAGCCGGGCAGUCAGACUUUCAGCAUUGUUACCCGUGCUCACGUGGCUCAUGUUUUGCCCGUGUCUGGUACUUCCUGAGCUGGGGUGAUUAACAGAGCAAUAUUUACAUGCUACCACUAGUUGUGUCCUUGACAAACACCUACGGAGAGAAGCAGCUGAAGGAGAAGCAAAACAAGUUCCUGUUUCUGUGGGUUGCGUUUGCUUUGGUUUUUAACCAUUUCAAGCAAUCAGUUCAGCUUCAAACACCUCCUUUGACGCAGAAUCCCACCGCUAAAUCUCAUCUGAGUAAGACACAGUAAAUCAGAAGAGAAGGCUCCUGUCCCGGCUGGUGGGAUGAGAGUAAUUCCAGGCAGCACUGCCAGGAGCGGUGUGCACCCGGCCGGGUGCUGAGCCCGCUGGGUGCUUGUUCAGUGCCAGAGGGAGGAGAGGCAGGGGAUCAAUACACCGGGUUCUCAAAACAAAUCGGUUUUAGGAACUUUCUCAACUGGUGCGUAUUUCUUUCAUUUUCAAAGUCGUCCCUUGGCUGGUGCUCCAGCUGGCAUUCAGCUGACAUAAAAUAAACAGAAUGGGGGCUCCCAUGGGAUUUCUAGCAGAAUAUUCAACAUUAGAAGUGAAGGAAGAAAUAGUGAAAGUGCAAGCAAAACCUCUGUUCCCAUCUUUAAGACAGUAUUUGGGUGCAGUAGGAGUGCAGAGCAGUAUUUGUCUAUCUACCAGGGCUAUUCAUCACUACGUUUACCAUAUUUUCCUUUGCCUUCCAUAAUUCUUGGCUUCCCUCAUGUCUGGGUGUUUUCUAACCAGCCUUAAGGCAAUAAAUCAAAGCUGUCAGCAUUGGAAGAAAAUUAAUGUGAGAAGUUGUUCCAAAGGCCACCAGCCUUUUCCCUACUGUGCGCUGUGUUAAUCCAGGAUUCCUCAAUGGCUUUCAAUGUUUUGCUAUUUUCACAAGGCUUUGAGGCUACAGAUGCAGUUUUUGAAGGGCAGCUUUGAAUUUUAUCCUGUAAGAUACCAAAUUCCCGGAGUUUCUUUGGACUUCUGAGAUAAAAGAGUGUGCUCAGCACAGGCCCAGGUCAGACCCUGACCCUUCUCUGGCCAAACCGCAAGCAAAAUCCAGAUCCAGACUUGGAACACACCAAGGGCUGAAUCUGGACUUUUAGGUUGGAUUUACAUGAAGAAAAAGGCCAAACGAUUCAAAAACAAUCCUGUUCCUAUGCCCCGUAGUGAUGACGCUGGUUGAAUUAUUCAUCGCGAGUUAUUUGUCCAAAGAAUGCGGCUGGCAUUUAUGCUGAAUAAAUUACUUGCAAGUUUUGAUUUCUUGUUUCAUUACUCACCCCGUUCUGUACCACUCAAACUCCAACCUCUUCGUUUCUGAAAGUCUCUUUCUCCACGUCUGAGAAAAGGAACACUUGGGAAACAACCUUCAGCUGGUGUAGAUCUGAUAGAGCAAAUGCCUCCCUGGGAAAGGACAGCCUGGCAGUCGUGGCAUUUUCUUGGAACUCAGGAAAGCAAUGUUCUUACCCUAUUCAGCUGCAGAUGAACCCUGUAACCCUGGGCAAAUCACUUAGUUCCCUACACCUCUGGCUGCACAUUUAUAAAACGGACAUAGUAUUUCGCUCUGUAAGACACUGUAAGGCUAGAUAUGUUAAAGAUGAUGAAUUGCCCGGUUACUAUGGAAACUGGAAAAGCACCUAAUGCAAAUGGAUGAGUUUAGAAAUAGGUCCACCUGCCUGAAAAGUCAUGAGCAAUUGGGAACUUCAUUAGGUGAAAUCUGUCGUGUUGUAAUCAGAAGUAUUGUGGGUGCAACUCAAAACUUCCUCUAAUAGGAAGUACCAGCUUAUUAGAAGAUUUGUCUCUUGGUGGAUUCUGAAGGUUUUCCCUUUAAUAUCUUCAAGCUCUCACGUUUAAUGCAUCUGUUUAGAUUUAUUUUUCUCUGAUAGCUUGGGAUAUUUAAGUAGCUACUCAGUAUGAUGUCCCACCAAACAAAGACCAUUAAAACCAGAAGAGUGAUUGCACAAACCAGUCCAGAAGUCAAAAGACUGUGGCAUAUUGAGAAGGAAAUUU